CGGCUCAAAAUGCAGCAGGCGGCAGAUUUCCCUCCAUGUUUUGACAUUUUGAUUUUAUGUCAUACACUCUUACGACAGUGUGUUGUCUUUCUGUUGUGGGAUCGACUUGAGAAGUAAUAUUUGAAGUUCAAACCAUUUCUUUUCCUUUCAUUUUCUCUCUUCCGCACUUGAGUCGAAAUAAGACUUCUUCGACCUGAACCUUUCCCUUCUUCCAUCGAACCCUAAAAACCCAAUUUUUCAUCUUCAAUCCUUCCCAAGAACCCUGGCCAGUUCCCAAAUCACUCCAUUUCAACCUCAAACUGUUCCUUUUCUUCCCUGAGCACGCAAGCUCCGCGACGGCCACGACUAUCGUGAAGCCAUCAAACAAUCAAGUCCCUCAUUCUCUCAUAUAUCUUUCUCUUGUCAUCUCUCUCUCAUAGUUCUGAAACCCCAAAAUUCUCCAGAAAUUUCAUGAAUCACAUUGAAAUCUCAAACCACCCAAACACCCAAAACGCUUUCUACCCUUAGAACCUUCGCUGCUUCUUCCUCCUCCCCUGCACUUGUCUACCUCUCUCUUCAUCAAAAAACCCUAAAAAGGAAGACGAUGCCUUUCCGGUUCAGAAUUUUCUCCGAUCUGUGCCAUGUGGAUUUUGUCAUCACCAUUUCUAUCAACUUGGAUGAGCAGCUGAUGGGUUCGUCAGGGAUGGCGCCAUUGACUCCAGCUCUUGCUUGAAAGGCCAGUGGGGCACUCAGAUUUUGGAGCUGCAAUAUCCGGUGCAAACAAAUUGGGGCUCGCUCUUCAUCUUUGAUUGAAAUCGAUAUUGGAUUCGAAGAUAUAUAUGUGGAAUGCACCACCCGGUUUCAGACCCACAUGGGUUCAAAUUGGGGCUCGCUCCUUCCUCUCCGGCCAAGCCUCUCGGAGUUUCGAGGACUCGAUCUGAGUCGUUCCAUGGGACUCAUAAGGUCCCUGUGGGUGAUACCCCCUAUGACGGAGCCAAGAAUGUUCAGGUCUUGUUGUUGUGUGUUUCCAAUGCUAGAUGAGUAGUGGAUGUGUCUAGGGAGUAGUCAACCACCUCAAAGUUGUUAAGGACUCGUCGGAGCUUCAUUGAAAAAGUGCAAGUAUGCAAUUCUACCUCUUUGAAUUUCAUUAUGAGUUUUAGCCUCAAGUUCUUUAAAAUUCAUAAUUGAUGGUGAUGCUAUUCUAAUUAGACGAUUCUUUGGAUUUUUGAUUGAAUUUUUGAAUCUGGAAAUCUUCAGUCUCUAGAUGACGACGCCAAGCUCGUGGAAUUACUCGACUUGGGUGCGGCAGUUGGUACUCAAAGCCGAGGGCUUUCUGACGAGCUCAUUAGCUUGCUUCCGACAACCAAAUACAAGUGUGUAAGCUUUUUCUCAAGAAAGAGAUCUGGAGAGAGAUGUGUAAUAUGCUAGGGGAUGUACAAAAGAGGAGCUCGAAAAAUCAAAUUGCCCUGCAAGCAUCUUUACCAUAGUGAAUGCAUCAGCAAAUGGCUCGGUACCAACAAGUGAUGGUGCAGCUGCAUUGGUGCUAGUGAGUGGGGAAAAGGCACCUGAACUUGGGUUACAUGCUCUUGUUCUUCAUUCCUCCGGAAAACCAACAAAGCUGAUAACCCCCUUUGGUAAUGUAUCAUGCUCUUCUGCUGCAGUAUGUGCUAACUUGUGAAGCUUCACAACAAGCUUGGAGGUGAUGCAAAUGAGAAUAUAGUGCACAAGAUGCUUGAUAAAAUGGCACAAGAAGGUUUUGUUGAAGCAAAAAGAUAUUAUAUCAUCUUUUGAUUCAUGUGUAGCUAGCUAGGAAUGUUUUCUUGUUUGGUACAUUAUCUAGUUACUUGAAUGUAUGGAUGUUUGAAAAAUGGUAAUUGGAUGAUAUGGAUUUGAGUACU